AUGGCCAGGGGUCACGUGGCGCUGUUCCCGCUGCCGUUCCAGGGCCACCUCAGCCCGGCGCUGCAGCUCGCCGACGCGCUCUACGGCCGAGGCCUCGCCAUCACCGUCCUCCACACCACCUUCAACGCCCCCGACCCGGCCGCCCACCCGGAGUUCGGCUUCGUCGCCGUGGCCGACGGCGGCAUGCCGGACGCCAAGGACGGCAUCGGCAAGAUCCUCGCCAUGAACGAUGCCAUGGAGGCGUCAGGGUGCGUCCGCGACGCGCUCGCGGCCUUGGCGCCCCGCCCGGCGUGCCUCGUCAUCGACACCAGCCUCCCCGCCGCGCAGAAGGCCGCGGCCGAGCUGGGCAUGCCGACGGUCGUGCUGCACACCGGCAGCGCCGCCGCCAUCCGCUUGUUCAGGUCCUACGCCAUGCUCCACGACAAGGCAUACCUGCCGGCGCAAGAGCACGAGCUGGACAAGCCGGUGAAGGAGCUGGCGCCGAUCCGGGUGUCGGACCUGUUCGACCCCAGCAAAUAUCCCAACCCAGAAAUGGCGAACAGGCUCCUGGACACGGCCACCGAGGUCACAGACAACUCCUCGGGGAUCGUGAUCAACACGUUCGAAGCGCUCGAGACGCCCGAGCUGGAGGCGAUCCGUUCCGAGCUCGCCGCCAGCGGCGUCGGGGUGUUCGCCAUCGGCCCUCUCCACAAGCUCUCCACCAUCGGCGGCGCCGGCAGCAGCCUGCUGGAGGCGGACCGGAGCUGCAUCGAGUGGCUGGACGCGCAGGCCGCGGGCUCCGUGCUGUACGUGAGCUUUGGGAGCGUGGCCCCGGUGAGCCGGGAAGACUUCGAGGAGGUCGCGUGGGGCCUCGCCAACAGCGGCAGGCCAUUCCUGUGGGUCGUCCGGCGGGGCCUCGUCAUCGGCUCUGGCUCCGGGGACACGGAGCUGCCGGAGGGGUUCGAGCGGGCGGCGGAGGGCAGGGGCAAGGUGGUCAGGUGGGCGCCGCAGCAGGAGGUGCUCGCCCACCGUGCGGUGGGCGGGUUCUGGACGCACAGCGGCUGGAACUCGACGCUGGAGGGCAUCUGCGAGGGGGUGCCGAUGCUGUGCAGGCCGCUCUUCGGCGAUCAGCUGGCCAACGGGAGGUACGUCGAGGAGGUGUGGCGGACGGGAGCCUUGCUGGUGGGCAAGCUGGAACGGGGCAAGGUUGAGGUGGCGAUCGCGAGGUUCAUGGACGGGGAAGAUGGCGCGGCCAUGAGGGAGAGAGCGAAGGAGCUUCAGAUCAAAGCAAUGGAGGCUCUGAGCAGCGCCGGGUCAAUUCAGCUGGCGGUAGACAAGUUGAUAGAUCACAUACUGUCCCUAUGA
rnacentral:rRNA from 1 species